rnacentral:rRNA from 1 species
UGAGUGCGAGCUGCUGCGGCAGCGAAGUUGGUGAUGUCAUGCUUCCAAGAAAAGCCCUAUACCCGUUAAGGCAUCAUGGCCUGUACCCGAAACCGACACAGGUGGGGUGGUAGAGAAUACCGAGGGGCGCGAGGUAACUCUCUCUAAGGAACUCGGCAAAAUGGCCCCGUAACUUCGGGAGAAGGGGUGCCACCGCAAGGUGGUCGCAGUGAAGAGGCCCAGGCGACUGUUUACCAAAAACACAGGUCUCCGCUAAGUCGCAAGACGAUGUAUGGGGGCUGACGCCUGCCCAGUGCCGGAAGGUUAAGGAAGCUGGUCAGCGCAAGCGAAGCUAGCGACUGAAGCCCCGGUGAACGGCGGCCGUAACUAUAACGGUCCUAAGGUAGCGAAAUUCCUUGUCGGGUAAGUUCCGACCCGCACGAAAGGCGUAACGAUCUGGGCGCUGUCUCGGAGAGAGGCUCGGCGAAAUAGAAUUGUCUGUGAAGAUGCGGACUACGUGCACCCGGACAGAAAGACCCUAUGAAGCUUUACUGUAGCUUGGUAUUGUGCCCGGGCUCGCAAUGCGCAGGAUAGGUGGGAGGCUUUGAUCAUCGGCUUGCGGGUCGAUGUGAGCCAACGGUGAGAUACCACUCUUUGCGAGCUAGGGUUCUAACGGCCACCCGUCAUCCGGGGGCCGGACAGUACCUGGUGGGCAGUUUGACGGGGGCGGUCGCCUCCUAAAAGGUAACGGAGGCGCGCAAAGGUUUGCUCAGGCUGGUUGGAAAUCAGCCGACGAGUGUAAAAGCAGAAGCAAGCUUGACUGUGAGACCAACAAGUCGAACAGGGAGGAAACUCGGCUUUAGUGAUCCGACGGUUCUGAGUGGAAGGGCCGUCGCUCAACGGAUAAAAGUUACUCUAGGAUAACAGGCUGAUCUCCCCCAAGAGUUCACAUCGACGGGGAGGUUUGGCACCUCGAUGUCGGCUCAUCGCAACCUGGGGCUGAAGUCGGUCCCAAGGGUUGGGCUGUUCGCCCAUUAAAGCGGUACGCGAGCUGGGUUCAGAACGUCGUGAGACAGUUCGGUCCAUAUCCGGUGCACGCGCAGGAAUAUUGAGAGGAUUUCUCCCUAGUACGAGAGGACCGGGAGGAACGCACCUCUGGUGUACCAGUUAUCGUGCCAACGGUAAACGCUGGGUAGCCAUGUGCGGAGUGGAUAACCGCUGAAAGCAUCUAAGUGGGAAGCCCACCUCAAGAUGAGUAUUCCCAUGGCGUAAGCCAGUAAGGUCACGGGAAGAACACCCGUUGAUAGGCUCUAUGUGGAAGCGCAGUAAUGCGUGAAGCAGAGGAGUACUAAUAGACCGAGGGCUUG